rnacentral:rRNA from 1 species
GGUUAAGUUAGAAAGGGCGCACGGUGGAUGCCUUGGCACUAGGAGCCGAAGAAGGACGGGACUAACACCGAUAUGCUUUGGGGAGCUGUACGUAAGCGUUGAUCCAGAGAUUUCCGAAUGGGGGAACCCACUAUCUUUAGUCGGAUAGUAUCCUUACGUGAAUACAUAGCGUGAGGAAGGCAGACCCAGGGAACUGAAACAUCUAAGUACCUGGAGGAAGAGAAAGAAAAAUCGAUUUCCUGAGUAGCGGCGAGCGAAACGGAAAGAGCCCAAACCAAGAAGCUUGCUUCUUGGGGUUGUAGGACACUCUAUACGGAGUUACAAAAGAAAGUUAUAAAUGAAGCGGUCUGGAAAGGCCCGCCAAAGACGGUAACAGCCCGGUAGUUGAAAUGGCUUUCCCUCCAGAGUGGAUCCUGAGUACGGCGGAACACGUGAAAUUCCGUCGGAAUCCGGGAGGACCAUCUCCCAAGGCUAAAUACUCCCUAGUGACCGAUAGUGAACCAGUACCGUGAGGGAAAGGUGAAAAGCACCCCGGAAGGGGAGUGAAACAGUUCCUGAAACCGUGUGCCUACAAGUAGUUAGAGCCCGUUAAUGGGUGAUAGCGUGCCUUUUGUAGAAUGAACCGGCGAGUUACGAUUUGUUGCAAGGUUAAGCGGAAAAAGCGGAGCCGUAGCGAAAGCGAGUCUGAAUAGGGCGCAUAAGUAACAGGUCGUAGACCCGAAACCAGGUGAUCUACCCAUGUCCAGGAUGAAGGUAAGGUAAUACUUACUGGAGGUCCGAACCCACGCACGUUGAAAAGUGCGGGGAUGAGGUGUGGGUAGCGGAGAAAUUCCAAUCGAACUUGGAGAUAGCUGGUUCUCUCCGAAAUAGCUUUAGGGCUAGCCUCGAGGUAAAGAGUCAUGGAGGUAGAGCACUGUUUGGACUAGGGGCCCUUCUCGGGUUACCGAAUUCAGAUAAACUCCGAAUGCCAUGUACUUAUACUCGGGAGUCAGACUGCGAGUGAUAAGAUCCGUAGUCGAAAGGGAAACAGCCCAGACCACCAGUUAAGGUCCCCAAAUAUAUGUUAAGUGGAAAAGGAUGUGGGGUUGCUUAGACAACCAGGAUGUUGGCUUAGAAGCAGCCACCAUUGAAAGAGUGCGUAAUAGCUCACUGGUCGAGUGACCCCGCGCCGAAAAUGUACCGGGGCUAAACAUAUUACCGAAACUGUGGAUGAACCUCUUUAGAGGUUCGUGGUAGGAGAGCGUUCUAAGGGCGGUGAAGUCAGACCGGAAGGACUGGUGGAGCGCUUAGAAGUGAGAAUGCCGGUAUGAGUAGCGAAAGAAGGGUGAGAAUCCCUUCCACCGAAUAUCUAAGGUUUCCUGAGGAAGGCUCGUCCGCUCAGGGUUAGUCGGGACCUAAGCCGAGGCCGAUAGGCGUAGGCGAUGGACAACAGGUAGAGAUUCCUGUACCAGUGCUAAUUGUUUAACCGAUGGGGUGACACAGAAGGAUAGGGAAUCGCACGAAUGGAAAUGUGCGUCCAAGCAGUGAGUGUGAGAAGUAGGCAAAUCCGCUUCUCGCGAAGCAUGAGCUGUGAUGGGGAAGGAAAUUAAGUACGGAAGUUCCUGAUUUCACGCUGUCAAGAAAAGCCUCUAGGAAGAGUAGUACUGCCCGUACCGCAAACCGACACAGGUAGAUGAGGAGAGAAUCCUAAGGUGAGCGAGAGAACUCUCGUUAAGGAACUCGGCAAAAUGACCCCGUAACUUCGGGAGAAGGGGUGCUCUAUUAGGGUGCAAGCCCGAGAGAGCCGCAGUGAAUAGGCCCAGGCGACUGUUUAGCAAAAACACAGGUCUCUGCAAAACCGUAAGGUGACGUAUAGGGGCUGACGCCUGCCCGGUGCUGGAAGGUUAAGAGGAGUGCUUAGCUUCGGCGAAGGUACGAAUUGAAGCCCCAGUAAACGGCGGCCGUAACUAUAACGGUCCUAAGGUAGCGAAAUUCCUUGUCGGGUAAG